CCUACGGGUGGCAGCAGUAGGGAAUCUUCCACAAUGGGCGAAAGCCUGAUGGAGCAACGCCGCGUGGGUGAAGAAGGUCUUCGGAUCGUAAAACCCUGUUGUUAGAGAAGAAAAUGCGUGAGCGUGACUGUUCACGUUUCGACGGUAUCUAACCAGAAAGCCUCGCCUAACUACGUGCGAGCAGCCGCGGCAAUACGUAGGGGGCAAGCGUUAUCCGGAUUUUUUGGGCGUAAAGGGAACGCAGGUGGUCUGUUAAGUCUUAUGUGAAAGGCUUCGGCUUAACCGGUGUAGGGCAUAUGAGACUGGGAGACUAGAGUGCAGAAGAGGGAAGCGGAACUCGAGGUGUAGCAGUGAAAUGCGUAGAUA
rnacentral:rRNA from 1 species